GAUGAACGCUGGCGGCGUGCCUAAUACAUGCAAGUCGAGCGAACAGACGAGGAGCUUGCUCCUCUGACGUUAGCGGCGGACGGGUGAGUAACACGUGGAUAACCUACCUAUAAGACUGGGAUAACUUCGGGAAACCGGAGCUAAUACCGGAUAAUAUAUUGAACCGCAUGGUUCAAUAGUGAAAGACGGUUUUGCUGUCACUUAUAGAUGGAUCCGCGCCGCAUUAGCUAGUUGGUAAGGUAACGGCUUACCUAGGCAACGAUGCGUAGCCGACCUGAGAGGGUGAUCGGCCACACUGGAACUGAGACACGGUCCAGACUCCUACGGGAGGCAGCAGUAGGGAAUCUUCCGCAAUGGGCGAAAGCCUGACGGAGCAACGCCGCGUGAGUGAUGAAGGUCUUCGGAUCGUAAAACUCUGUUAUUAGGGAAGAACAAAUAUGUAAGUAACUAUGCACGUCUUGACGGUACCUAAUCAGAAAGCCACGGCUAACUACGUG
rnacentral:rRNA from 1 species